GUUGAACUUCAGUGGUCAUACAGAAGAGAUGUUUUGCUCCUCCUCCUGCCACCCGGCCGGCUUUACCGCUUCCUCAUCCUUUUAAUACACUUAAAUAACGUGUUGCUGCAACAUUGAUCUACACUGCAACAUUGACCAGUCUGAGGAGUGCUGUGCCUGGCUGCUGCAACAUUGACCAGUCUGAGGAGUGCUGUGACUGGCUGCUGCAACAUUGACCAGUCUGAGGAGUGCUGUGACUGGCUGCUGCAACAUUGACCAGUCUGAGGAGUGCUGUGCCUGGCUGCUUGCAACAUUGACCAGUCUGAGGAGUGCUGUGCCUGGCUGCUGCAACACUGACCAGUCUGAGGAGUGCUGUGACUGGCUGCUGCAACAUUGAUCAACACUGCAACAUUGACCAGUCUGAGGAGUGCUGUGCCUGGCUGCUGCAACAUUGACCAGUCUGAGGAGUGCUGUGCCUGGCUGCUGCAACAUUGACCAGUCUGAGGAGUGCUGUGACUGGCUGCUGCAACAUUGACCAGUCUGAGGAGUGCUGUGACUGGCUGCUGCAACAUUGACCAGUCUGAGGAGUGCUGUGACUGGCUGCUGCAACAUUGACCAAUCUGAGGAGUGCUCUGACUGGCUGCUGCAACAUUGAUCAACACUGCAACAUUGACCAGUCUGAGGAGUGCUGUGACUGGCUGCUGCAACAUUGAUCAACACAGCAACAUUGACCAGUCUGAGGAGUGCUGUGACUGGCUGCUGCAACAUUGAUCAACACAGCAACAUUGACCAGUCUGAGGAGUGCUGUGGCUGGCUGCUGCAACAUUGAUCAACACAGCAACAUUGACCAGUCUGAGGGACAGAGACAACCACACUAGUAAAUGGUCUGACCCAUAACAUUUAGUGUUAUAUGGAGAUGCAGCAGUUGGAGACGUCGCCAAGGGUGGGCGGGGCCCACUUGUAAGGUAUUUCCAGGUUGAAGAUAUUCUCAAUAUUGCGGCAGCUUCUGUGGUGAAGACCGUGUCGUGGCCAGCUGCAAGUCUUCAGAGAUAUCAACUCAGCAGCAACUCACCAAAACAAUGUCUGCAAAGAUAAAAGUAUGAACAUUACUAGAUACACGAACUGUAAGGUUGAUGGAGCUGGAGGUGUUGAUGGUGUGGUGGAUGGCAGAGGAGUGACUAGUGGCGCCACUAUUCUUGACCUCCAUGGCUAAAUGGCGCCGUUGACCUGGAGGGGUGAUGACGUCAAUGGUUGUUUGUGGGAAGGGG